UUUCCGUAGGUGAACCUGCGGAAGGAUCAUUAAUGAGUUAGGGUCUUAUAGGCCCGAUCUCCAACCCUUUGUAUAACUACCAUGUUGCUUUGACGGGCCCGUCUUCGGACCGUUGGAGGUCGUUUGACCUCUGGCCCGUGCCCGUCAGUAGCCCACUACAAAUUCUUUUAAAUCAUGAUUUUUCUGAAAAACUAGUUAAAUAAACUAAAACUUUCAACAACGGAUCUCUUGGUUCUG
rnacentral:misc_RNA from 1 species